rnacentral:rRNA from 1 species
UACGUAGGGUGCGAGCGUUAAUCGGAAUUACUGGGCGUAAAGUGUGCGCAGGCGGCCGAGCAAGUCGAGUGUGAAAGCCCCGAGCUUAACUUGGGAACUGCGCUCGAAACUACUUGGCUAGAGUGUGGCAGAGGGAGGUGGAAUUCCACGUGUAGCGGUGAAGUGCGUAGAGAUGUGGAGGAACACCGAUGGCGAAGGCAGCCUCCGUGGGCCAACACUGACGCUCAUGCACGAAAGCGUGGGGAGCAAACAGG